AUUGAAGCUUGUAUGAAGGGUUGGACGAGAUAAAAUCUGUCUUUAUUUAAAUUACAAUAAAAUUUAACUUUUAAGUCAAAAGGCUUAAAUGUGUAUAAAAGACGAGAAGACCCUAUAGAUCUUUAUUUAGUUAAUAUUUUAAUAAUUUAGGAUUAUUUUAAUUUAAAGUUUUAAUUAAAUUUUAUUGGGGUAAUAUAAAGAUUAAAUAAAUUCUUUUUAUUUAUUACAUUAAUUUAUGAAUUUGUGAUCCAAUAUUAUUGAUUAUAAGAUUAAGUUACCUUAGGGAUAACAGCGUAAUUUUUUUGGAGAGCUCAUAUCGAUAAGAAAGUUUGCGACCUC
rnacentral:rRNA from 1 species